rnacentral:lncRNA from 1 species
CCUCUCCUUCUCAUGUAUAUAGCAUUAGGAAGGGGAAGAAGCCACGUACAUUUUCUCCAUCCUCAAGUUCUUCAGGAGAUUCUACCUCUAGAUUUUUCCAGCAUUGGUGGCUCGAUGACUACGAGCGUAAAUUCAAAGAGAUCGAUCAUCAACUUGUCUGACUCCAAGUGGAAGGUCGGAAGUCCUCCAAUGACCUCGGC